rnacentral:rRNA from 1 species
AUGAACGCUGGCGGCGUGCUUAACACAUGCAAGUCGAACGAAGCACUUUAUUUGAUUUCCUUCGGGACUGAUUAUUUUGUGACUGAGUGGCGGACGGGUGAGUAACGCGUGGGUAACCUGCCUUGUACAGGGGAUAACAGUUGGAAACGGCUGCUAAUACCGCAUAAGCGCACGGCAUCGCAUGAUGCAGUGUGAAAAACUCCGGUGGUAUAAGAUGGACCCGCGUUGGAUUAGCUAGUUGGUGAGGUAACGGCCCACCAAGGCGACGAUCCAUAGCCGACCUGAGAGGGUGACCGGCCACAUUGGGACUGAGACACGGCCCAAACUCCUACGGGAGGCAGCAGUGGGGAAUAUUGCACAAUGGGCGAAAGCCUGAUGCAGCGACGCCGCGUGAGCGAAGAAGUAUUUCGGUAUGUAAAGCUCUAUCAGCAGGGAAGAUAAUGACGGUACCUGACUAAGAAGCACCGGCUAAAUACGUG